GACGAACGCUGACGGUGUGCUUUAGACAUGCAAGUCGAACGCGAAAGCCCUUCGGGGUUAGUAGAGUGGCGAACGGGUGAGUAACACGUGGGCAAUCUGCCCCUCGCAGGGGGACAACCGGAGGAAACUCCGGCUAAUACCCCGUACGCUUGCGGAACCGCAUGGUACCGCAAGGAAAGGUAGCUUCGGCCAUCCGGCGAGGGAUGAGCCCGCGGUGCAUUAGCUAGUUGGUGGGGUAACGGCCCACCAAGGCGACGAUGCAUAGCUGGUCUGAGAGGAUGAUCAGCCACACUGGGACUGAGACACGGCCCAGACUCCUACGGGAGGCAGCAGUCGGGAAUCUUGCGCAAUGGGCGAAAGCCUGACGCAGCAAAC
rnacentral:rRNA from 1 species